rnacentral:tRNA from 1 species
GCGCCCGUAGCUCAAUUGGAUAGAGCAUCUGACUACGGAUCAGAAGGUUUGAGGUUCGAAUCCCCACGGGCGUG